rnacentral:lncRNA from 1 species
UUUUGUAUUUUUGGUAAAGACAGGGUUUCACCAUGUUGCUUAGGCUGGUCUCAGACUCCUGGGCUCAAGUGAUCAUCUCGUCUUGGCCUCCAAAAGUGCUGGACUACAGGCAUGAGCCUCGUCACCUGGCCCAUUCCCAUUUUACAAAUGAGGAAGUUGAGGCUUGGAGAGACUUAGGGACUUUUGAAAGAAUUGUGGUGAUGAGCUGCACCCCAGGUGGCUUUGCUUCAAAUACAACACCUUCUUAGCAUAAAGAAAAGAAUCACAUUUUAUAAAGAAUAAAGGGAGAUGGGCAUUUGAACCUGACUUGAUGUGAAAGGGAAGAAGAAUUAAAGAGGACUGUCAGCAUUAACUGGCAGGGGACAGAGAGAUAAAGGCGCUCAGGCAGUAGGGCCUCUGGAUUCCUGGAGCCACGUGUGCGUAAGCCAUGCCGGCUUUCACAUGUGUGGCUGUGACAGCCCCUCCCGCCAGGCUGCUGAGAAGAAGGCCCUGUGUGUAGUGAGCCAGGUCUGGAGGCUUGUUCACAUGUGACCCCUGACGGCAGCGUGGGACUUCCGGGGAGAUGAGGAUGUGCCAGGGCAGAGGCAGGCCCCCCACAGGGACUCUUGUGUCCUUAAGCACUCAUGGUGUCUAGAUGGUGUGUGAGACACUCUUGACUGGGGACGUCUGGCUUUUGGAAGGUCCAUGGGGAGUACAGGAUGAAGCCACCCAGACAGACUGUGUCCAUCUCCCUGCAUUCUGCUCUGCCUGCCCCCCUCCUAUCUAAGCCAGGUGAGGCCAAAGUGAAACGACAGUGUAGGGAGGCUUCAGAAGGAAAACUGGUGUGAAAGGGCUGCUUUCUGCCUGGGGUGGGGGCAGCUGGGGGCUGAGGAAGGUUGACUUCUUAUGUUUGGGUUGUGUUGAUACAAGAGUCAGGGCUGUCCUCUGUCCUCGCCUUCCCUCUCUGCUGUAUUCUUCAUGUUUUUAAAUUUUCUGUGUUUUAUGAUGUUUUGACGUCUUGCAGGGGCCUUGUCAGCUGGGGAGAGAUGGCUUCCCCCAGGGCCAGCUGAUUCCUAGACAGGGUAAACAUCUUGCCUAUGAACACACCCUUCAUGCCCCAACCAGCCAUUCCUGAGCCCAUCCUCCUAAUCAUCUCCUUUAUCUAACUCUUCCCCACCCAGCAAUAUUUCCCUACCCUGAAGCACUCCAGGGUCAGGUACCAAGCAGCUAGGGACCACCCUUAUACUCAGAGCCCACUGACAUUAUUCAGAGGAGCCAGCCUGAGGCCUGCCCACCCUGCCCCACCUUGUCUUCCCAAGAGCCUUGUGAUAGAGGCAUGGCCUCUGCUUUCCCCGUGCUGGCUUCUGCCUCCUGCCUGAUUCAGGUGCUUGCCUGCGUGGCCGUGGCUGGUGAUGCCUCCCGUUUCUAGGGGAGUUGGGAAUAAUAAUAAAAUCUUUCAGUG